GAUGAACGCUGGCGGCGUGCCUAAUACAUGCAAGUCGAACGAAACUUCUUUAUCACCGAGUGCUUGCACUCACCGAUAAAGAGUUGAGUGGCGAACGGGUGAGUAACACGUGGGCAACCUGCCCAAAAGAGGGGGAUAACACUUGGAGACAGGCGCUAAUACCGCAUAACCAUAGUUACCGCAUGGUAACUAUGUAAAAGGUGGCUAUACUACCGCUUUUGGAUGGGCCCGCGGCGCAUUAGCUAGUUGGUAGGGUAAAGGCUUACCAAGGCAAUGAUGCGUAGCCGAAUUGAGAGGUUGAUCGGCCACAUUGGGACUGAGACACGGCCCAAACUCCUACGGGAGGCAGCAGUAGGGAAUCUUCCACAAUGGGCGAAAGCCUGAUGGAGCAACGCCGCGUGGGUGAAGAAGGUCUUCGGAUCGUAAAACCCUGUUGUUAGAGAAGAAAGUGCGUGAGAGUAACUGUUCACGUUUCGACGGUAUCUAACCAGAAAGCCACGGCUAACUACGUG
rnacentral:rRNA from 1 species